rnacentral:lncRNA from 1 species
GUGAGGGGUGGCCUGUUUGGAUUCUGUUAGGGAGGGUGGGAGGACUCCAUCAGAAGUCCUGGAAAGUUUGGAAAGUUUCUCAAGGCUUUAAAUAAUUCUAAUCAUAGCUACUUCAGUUUUGUGUAUCUGUUCUCUGCAGAUGGUUUGAAACUGUAUAGGAAGAACAGGUAAAGGCAGGUGGAGUGCACACAGAUCGCACCACAUGGCUUGUAAUGAUUUUCUGUGUCUGUCAUCGUCAGCGUGUCAUCUGGAUGUACGAAGGUAGUAAAAAAGGGUUUCAGAACAGAGCCACGGGACUGGUAGGAAGAGGAGAUCCACAAAUGCUGUAUACAGGCUGUACCGCUGCUUCAAACCCCACUUGUCCAGUGCUUCACAGUGUUGCUAAUCAGUGGAGAAAUACAUGCUUUCAUUAUCAAGUGUAGUCAGCCGUCUGUUGAGGUCAGGUUUCCUUCCGUUAGCUUUUGGGUUUCCUCGGUGGCUCUGGCAAGGCUGCUGCUGUGUCAUUCGGUGCCUUUGUGAGUUUCCUUGCUGUAGGUGAUUCUUGACUGUGGGGAUUGGAAUUUGAGGCAGAAGUUACCAUCCCUACUACAUUUUUUAAAGUUGGUAGCACAAAUGCUUUUUAUUCUAUGAAAACAAUCCUUUUGGGGAAUGUACCUGAAGAGUACAGAGGAGCAAGUUCCCAGAGCAGCAGCCACGGCAUCGUGGCCUGCAGGUGCACCCUCCUCCUCGCCACAGUCAGUCAGUUCCCGUGACAGGAAACGACCUUGUGUUCUGAGGAGAGCGUGAAGGCUGUGCCUGCCCUGCCAGUGCAGGGAGCUGUCCCGCACUUGAGCAGUGUCAGAGAUUCUUGCUUUAACUUUGAUUUGCUUUCUCCCAUUCUUGGCCCUGGUCACUAGGGUCCUGGCUAUUCUAGAACUCAGUAAAAUGUAUGUCUAAUGCUAACAUUGGCCCUUGUGUAGUACAACUAUUAGCCGUCACAGCUAUUGCUCUUCAAAUGGCUUUAGGGUUGGUGUUCUUUUUAAGGGAAAUACAUUUUCAAAAUUGCUCACCAUAUCUGUAUCACUUUUAGUUAAAAACAUGCUUAUAUGUACAGUGUUUCAUGGGUAUAAGGAUUUUUUUUCACUGAGGUUUUAGGCAUUUUUUAAAAAGACAAAUUUUCUCUAUGUAGCCCUGGCUGUCCUGGGACAUGUUCAGUAUGUAGAGCAGACUGGCCUUGAACUCAAAGAGGUGUGCCUGUCUCUGCCUCCCGGGUGCUGGGAUUAAAGGCGUGCAGCACCUUG